GCUGCUGCAGGGUGCAACUGGGGUGGAGGGCGUGGGGGUGAGAGAGAUGUGCACAGAACUGUGGGUAGUAUUGAUAUGAAAGAGAGCAGAAGUCUAAGAUUACCAUUUGAUCUCCUCCCCAGCUUUCUGUGUAAUCACACCAUAAACUGUGAAAAACAAGAGUACAUUUUCGGAAGCUCAAGCUUUUCUUUGUUUUUAAUAUUCUGCAAUUGAACUGUGUUGGAACAGAACAUCUUCACUGUGACUUUUGGAUCAUACUCUGAAGCAGGGGCACACAGAGGCGUGAAGAUCGGGAGUGAAACAGCGUGACGAGGCAGUGUUUCCAGUGUCCUUGAGAAGACAGACGCAGUACAAGACUGUCUAUCAGUACUUGAAACCUUUUCAGGGAAGCACAGGGCCAGCGGACUCAUCCCCACACAGAAGGCAACAGGCUGAGGCCUCAGCCAGAAUGGGGUCUGAAUGACUUUGAAGAAGGCAGUGCCAGUGCCAGGCUCUGUGGGCAGUGUUUGCAGAUCGCUCUGCACUAAUGGAACUCGUGACGAAAGUCUUAUUUACAGUGAUGGAAAAAGAACAAAAAUAAUGCUAUAGAAAAUACUAUUCAAGCUUUCAAAUUGUUUGGAAAUUAAAUAAUUGUGGCACUUUGCUCUAUCAUAAUCUUUUGGAAGGCUGGAGAGAUUAUAUUGUGUCAAUUCUUUGACUAAGCUGAUCGACAUAUCUCUGCAUCUAAAGUCUUUUAUUCUGUGAAAUUUCAUCUUGUGAAUGCGACUCUCCCAGAAUGGCUCUGAUUUAAUGGACCAGCGCUGAACAUCA